GGCACUGAACCACCGCGAGGUGCUCAUAUGCGAAAAGACAACUAAGAGGUUUGCCUUGAAGCAGCCACCCUUUAAAAAGUGCUUAAUAGCUCACUGAUCGAGCGGUCUUGUGCUGAAGAUGAACGGGGCUAAGCGAUCUGCCGAA
rnacentral:ncRNA from 1 species